rnacentral:rRNA from 1 species
CCUACGGGAGGCAGCAGUGGGGAAUAUUGCACAAUGGGGGAAACCCUGAUGCAGCGACGCCGCGUGAGUGAAGAAGUAUUUCGGUACGUAAAGCUCUAUCAGCAGGGAAGAAAAUGACGGUACCUGACUAAGAAGCCCCGGCUAACUACGUGCCAGCAGCCGCGGUAAUACGUAGGGGGCAAGCGUUAUCCGGAUUUACUGGGUGUAAAGGGAGCGUAGACGGCAGCGCAGGUCUGGAGUGAAAUCCCAUGGCUUAACCAUGGAACUGCUUUGGAAACUGUGCAGCUAGAGUGCAGGAGAGGUAAGCGGAAUUCCUAGUGUAGCGGUGAAAUGCGUAGAUAUUAGGAGGAACACCAGUGGCGAAGGCGGCUUACUGGACUGUAACUGACGUUGAGGCUCGAAAGCGUGGGGAGCAAACAGGAUUAGAUACCCCUGUAGUC